UCUCCGUAGGUGAACCUGCGGAGGGAUCAUUACAGAGUUCAUGCCCUUACGGGUAGAUCUCCACCCUAUGUUAUCGUUACCUUUGUUGCUUUGGCGGGCCGUCAGGCCUCGGUCAGACUACCGGCUCCGGCUGGUAAGUGCCCGCCAGAGGAUAUCAAACCUUGGAUUUAAUGUCGUCUGAGUACUAUAUAAUAGUUAAAACUUUCAACAACGGAUCUCUUGGUUCUG
rnacentral:misc_RNA from 1 species